rnacentral:rRNA from 1 species
GACGAACGCUGGCGGCGUGCUUAACACAUGCAAGUCGAACGCUGAAGCUCAGCUUGCUGGGUGGAUGAGUGGCGAACGGGUGAGUAACACGUGAGUAACCUGCCCCCUUCUUUGGGAUAACGCCCGGAAACGGGUGCUAAUACUGGAUAUUCACUGAUCUUCGCAUGGGGGUUGGUGGAAAGGUUUUUUCUGGUGGGGGAUGGGCUCGCGGCCUAUCAGCUUGUUGGUGGGGUGAUGGCCUACCAAGGCUUUGACGGGUAGCCGGCCUGAGAGGGUGACCGGUCACAUUGGGACUGAGAUACGGCCCAGACUCCUACGGGAGGCAGCAGUGGGGAAUAUUGCACAAUGGGCGAAAGCCUGAUGCAGCGACGCCGCGUGAGGGAUGGAGGCCUUCGGGUUAUAAACCUCUUUCGCUCAUGGUCAAGCCGCAACAUUGGUUGUGGUGAGGGUAGUGGGUAAAGAAGCGCCGGCUAACUACGUG